GCGUAAUAGCUUACUGGCCGAGAUUUAAAGCGCCGUAAAUGAACGGGAAUAAGAUAUUCGCCGAAGCCGCGGGAUCCAAGCAAUUGGAUCGGUAGAGGAGCGUUGCUGUCAGCAGUGAAGGUCGAUCGGAAGAACGGCUGGAGCGGCAGCAAGUGCGUAUGUCGGCAUGAGUAACGAUAAAGCAGGUGAAAAUCCUGCUCGCCGUAAGUCUGAGGUUUCCUGGGGAAGGUAAAUCCGCCCAGGGUUAGUCGGGUCCUUAGUUAAGGCCGAAAGGCGUAGACGAUGGACAGCGGGUUAAUAUUCCCGCACCGUACAUGAAGGUUGAUGGAAACGUGACGCUGUAACGGAGUCGGUCACCCGGUUAGACGUGGGUGUGCCGCAAGGCCCAGGCCCUGGAUGCCAAAGCCGGCAAAGUUGCAGCCUAGAAAAGCCGUUUCCGGACAACAUGUAUGCCCGUACCACAAACUGACACAGGUAGACGAGGCGAAUAGCCUCAGGCGCUCGAGACAACUCCCUUUAAGGAACUAGGCAAUUUUCCCCCGUAAGUUCGCGAUAAGGGGUGCCCAUCGCAAGAUGGGCCGCAGAGAAAA
rnacentral:rRNA from 1 species